AGUGAACGCUGGCGGUAGGUCUAACACAUGCAAGUCGAACGGCAGCACAGUAAGAGCUUGCUCUUACGGGUGGCGAGUGGCGGACGGGUGAGGAAUACAUCGGAAUCUACUUUUUCGUGGGGGAUAACGUAGGGAAACUUACGCUAAUACCGCAUACGACCUACGGGUGAAAGCAGGGGAUCUUCGGACCUUGCGCGAUUGAAUGAGCCGAUGUCGGAUUAGCUAGUUGGCGGGGUAAAGGCCCACCAAGGCGACGAUCCGUAGCUGGUCUGAGAGGAUGAUCAGCCACACUGGAGCUGAGACACGGUCCAGACUCCUACGGGAGGCAGCAGUGGGGAAUAUUGGACAAUGGGCGCAAGCCUGAUCCAGCCAUACCGCGUGGGUGAAGAAGGCCUUCGGGUUGUAAAGCCCUUUUGUUGGGAAAGAAAAGCAGCAGGUUAAUACCCCGCUGUUCUGACGGUACCCAAAGAAUAAGCACCGGCUAACUUCGUG
rnacentral:rRNA from 1 species